rnacentral:rRNA from 1 species
CGACCGGCGCACGGGUGAGUAACGCGUAUCCAACCUGCCCACCACUUGGGGAUAACCUUGCGAAAGUAAGACUAAUACCCAAUGACGUCUCUAGAAGACAUCUGAAAGAGAUUAAAGAUUUAUCGGUGAUGGAUGGGGAUGCGUCUGAUUAGCUUGUUGGCGGGGUAACGGCCCACCAAGGCGACGAUCAGUAGGGGUUCUGAGAGGAAGGUCCCCCACAUUGGAACUGAGACACGGUCCAAACUCCUACGGGAGGCAGCAGUGAGGAAUAUUGGUCAAUGGACGAGAGUCUGAACCAGCCAAGUAGCGUGCAGGAUGACGGCCCUAUGGGUUGUAAACUGCUUUUACAAGGGAAUAAAGUGAGUCUCGUGAGACUUUUUGCAUGUACCUUAUGAAUAAGGACCGGCUAAUUCCGUGCCAGCAGCCGCGGUAAUACGGAAGGUCCGGGCGUUAUCCGGAUUUAUUGGGUUUAAAGGGAGCGUAGGCCGGAGAUUAAGCGUGUUGUGAAAUGUAGACGCUCAACAUCUGCACUGCAGCGCGAACUGGUUUCCUUGAGUACGCACAAAGUGGGCGGAAUUCGUGGUGUAGCGGUGAAAUGCUUAGAUAUCACGAAGAACUCCGAUUGCGAAGGCAGCUCACUGGAGCGCAACUGAUGCUGAAGCUCGAAAGUGCGGGUAUCGAACAGGAUUAGAUACCCUGGUAGUCCGCACGGUAAACGAUGGAUGCCCGCUGUUGGUCUGAAUAGGUCAGCGGCCAAGCGAAAGCAUUAAGCAUCCCACCUGGGGAGUACGCCGGCAACGGUGAAACUC